UAAAAUCCUAAGAAGAGGAAGAGUAAUUAAAUUACUAUUUAAUACAGAGAGUUAAGGAUGCUGAGAACUUAACAAAAAUAUAUUUAAUGAAUGGGCCUUGGAGGAAUUCGGUGAAAACUAAAUAGUAGCCGAUAUCGUGACUGCACGUUAUAGCAGGAAAAUUAAGUGAUAUGUACAAAAAAUGUAUAUAUAAUUUAGGUGGUACCGCGGAAAAAUUGUCCGUCCUAUUU
rfam:Paeniclostridium sordellii ATCC 9714 gcs9714.contig.92, whole genome shotgun sequence.